CAAACAAUUUCUCAGCCU
rnacentral:siRNA from 1 species